CCUACGGGGGGCAGCAGUGAGGAAUAUUGGUCAAUGGACGAGAGUCUGAACCAGCCAAGUAGCGUGAAGGAUGACUGCCCUAUGGGUUGUAAACUGCUUUUAUACAGGAAUAAAACGACUUACGUGUGCCUCUUUGCAUGUACUUUAUGAAUAAGGAUCGGCUAAUUCCGUGCCAGCAGCCGCGGUAAUACGGAGGAUCCGAGCGUUAUCCGGAUUUAUUGGGUUUAAAGGGAGCGUAGAUGGGUUGUUAAGUCAGUUGUGAAAGUUUGCGGCUCAACCGGAAAAUUGCAAUUGAUACUGGCAGUCUAGAGUACAGUUGAGGUAGGCGGAAUGCGUGGGGUAGCGGUGAAAUGCUUAGAUAUCACGAAGAACCCCGAUUGCGAAGGCAGCUUACUAAACUGUGACUGACAUUGAUGCUCGAAAGUGUGGGUAUCAAACAGGAUUAGAUACCCUUGUAGUC
rnacentral:rRNA from 1 species